rnacentral:misc_RNA from 1 species
CACCCCUCAAGCUCUGCUUGGUAUUGGGAGUUCGCCUCUGUUUGGGGCGCCCCCGAAAAUCAGCGGCGGUGCAGCUGAUAUCUCUAGCGCAGUGACAUACAUUCUCGCUACGGAUUUUGGGCAAACACCACGCCGAAACCUCUAUUUAUCUUAGCA